GAUUCGACUCCGCAACAAAGGUAAACUCCUCACCCUUCCUCUGUUUCUUUUUCUUCAAAAAUAAACAAAAGGAAAAAAUAAAUCAAAGAAUCUGGAAAAUAAAAAAAACGAGAGAAGAAAAAAAACUCAAAAUAACCUUCAAAGACUGUUUUUUAUUGCUUUUUCUUUCAACCGUUUUUCAAUACAAUAUUCGUAGCCCC
rnacentral:lncRNA from 1 species